GAUGAACGCUAGCUACAGGCUUAACACAUGCAAGUCGAGGGGCAGCGGUAUCGAAAGCUUGCUUUCGGUAGCCGGCGACCGGCGCACGGGUGAGUAACGCGUAUCGAACCUGCCUCAUACUCGGGAAUAGCCUUGCGAAAGUAAGAUUAAUGCCCGGUGUUUUCAGAGUCCCGCAUGAGGCUUUGAACAAAGAUUUAUCGGUAUGAGAUGGCGAUGCGUCCCAUUAGCUUGUUGGCGGGGUAACGGCCCACCAAGGCAUCGAUGGGUAGGGGUUCUGAGAGGAAGGUCCCCCACAUUGGAACUGAGGCACGGUCCAAAAUCCUACGGAAGGCAGCGGUGAGGAAUAUUGGUCAAUGGGCGGAAGCCUGAACCAGCCAAGUAGCGUGCAGGAAGACGGCCCUCCGGGUUGUAAGCUGCUUUUAGUUGGGAAUAAAACGGGGCUCGUGAGCCCCCUUGCAUGUACCAACAGAAAAAGGACCGGCUAAUUCCGUG
rnacentral:rRNA from 1 species